CUAUACAAAGCAUUUAACUUAGUUUUGAUAGAAAUAAGAGCUGUAUUUUUUAUACUUACAUUUUGUCUGUUUAUAUUGAAUUAAGUUACAUAGUUACAGUAGAAGCACAACUGGCACAAACAAGAUUGGGGCUAACAGUGCUUGAGCAUCAGUUUUGAGAUGUACAGAGGUCCUGGGAAGCUUGGAUCUGUCCAGUGGGCAUUGAGGUAGAGGUCAUUUAAGGGGCUUCUAAUGUAGCUCCCUGGAGGCUGUGUGCUGUCUUUUCUCUGGACUCUUCAAUAAAAUCCUCAUUGUUCACUGCUAGCUCCCUGUGACUGGAUUCUUUGGGGGAUCACCCAAGGAAGGGUUGGACUUCACAUCUGAGUCCCUUCAGUGGAAAGCAGAGAUGGUCCCCUGGACUUGGGAGUCAGGAAGAAAACAGCGGUCUCUGAGUAAAUUUGAGGAAAUUAUGGGAAUCUUGGUGAGAUGUCGGGCUUCCCGCACACUACAGAAGAAGGAUUUUGAGUUUUGUCUGAUGGCUCUGGCCCCGAACAUUUGGCUCCACUGGCUGACCUUGACGCCUUCCCAUUCUCUGGAGCAGCUGACAACUGGCCUCAUGAAGUUGCUUGCUUAUACUCCUUAUAUGUAUUGGCUUCCAUUUCCCCUGAGCACAGGGAUGCUUUGCUUCUCCCCUGUGGACUGUGAGGGGCAAAUGAGUAUUUAUAUGGAUUUAUCAGAGACUGGAACAGCCUCUGAUACUGUGUCUUAUGCUUUCUUUAAUGUAUGUUCCAUGGAGGAAAUCACUGAGCAGAUGUUGGUUUAGCUGGUUUCAUUAUCCAUGCUCUGAAUUCCCAGGAAAGCUGGACAGUUUCCCAUUGAUAACAAUAAUUAUUAUUAUAAUAGCUAACCCUUAGUUGAGUUCUUACUAUGAACAGGUGUUGAACUAGACAGUUUCUAUGCAUCAUCUCAUUGAAUCUUCCCAACAAAAUUGUGAGAUGGGUACUAUUAUUUUACGGAAACUGAAGCUGCCUAAGGUAAAACAAAACAAAACAAAACACAAAGCUGCUAAGUGGCAGAACCAGGAUUUGAACCUGGUUUGUCUGACUUUGAAGCUGGU
rnacentral:lncRNA from 1 species